CACUAAGCGAGGUAUAUAACUGUUUGCAUCACUUUUGUCAGUCUCUGCAGCUUAAAGUACUUUACACACAAACGCUACGUCUCAGCUAUGAACGUUUGGAUGAGAAUAUUAACAUUGAAGAAUAUGUAGCAGGUGUGAAAACAAUUACGCAAACCGCACUUGCUUCAACGCCGAUAAAAGCUAAUUAAAGAAAAUUAUAAUUUAAUUAUGAAACCUAUAAUUCGCUGAGUUCGAUUGCCAAGGUGCCGAUAAUACCCUCGCAAUCUAAUCGAAAGGCUUUCUUUGAGACAUGUCGAUGAAAUGCUGUUUAUCGUGGUCGCUCACAAAGUUAAGAGACAGUGGUCCUGGCAGUGUAUAUGGCGCAGGUACUGGCGGCUCACACCAGUCCCCAGUCGCCCCACGAUAGCGGGUUGCGUUCCACAUCCAUCGGCUGGCCAUCAUUACCGCUAAAUCCACAAUCAAGUCCGCACAUGUUGCAUAGCUCUGGCUUAAACUUAACUACUAAUACUUCUGUUGUAUUUAAUUGCAUUGUACGUAUCUUGUUUGAAAUGUUUAACACACACUCGGCGAC